AAAAUGGAUGGUAGUAGCAAUGGAAUGGCAGAAAGAAAGAGCACCAACGGAGGAAGAGAAGUUGUUAUCAAUGUCCCAGGUGAAGAAGCAUCAAGGGUUUCUGUUAAGAUGGAUUCACCAGAGACCAAGAGCUCCUCCCCUGAAAUCUCUAAGCUUAUUGGUGGUAGCCCAAACAAGCCUCCCAGACCUCCAAACCCAAGCAUUGAAGGCUUAACUCAAAGAAAAUCUUUUGCAAGGUCGGUUUACUCCAAACCAAAGUCCCGGUUUGUUGAACCAUCUCGCCCUGUAGACACAAGCACCCUAGAAGGGGACGUUAAGGAGCCACUUGGUGCUGUUAUUUCUAUUAGUAGAGGUUCUCCCAACAACAAAUCCACAAGGAGCGUCGGUUCAGCGACUCCAAAUAAAGCAACCGAGGUAGAGAAAGACGAAGACGAAGAAAUCUACAAAAAGGUGAAGCUGAGCAAAGAGAUGCGAAGAAGAGUAAGUCCACUCACAUUAGUAGAGCUAGCUUUCUUCAUAGCGGUGUUAAGCUCUCUGGUCGCUAGCUUAACCAUCGACGUCCUGAUAACUUACACCGUGUGGGGGCUAGAAGUGUGGAAAUGGUGCGUCCUCGUGAUGGUCACGUUCAGCGGGAUGCUGGUGACUCUAUUCCCUUUGUUAGCAUCUCCUCAGAAAACCGAAAAGCAUCUUCUAUCUUCCCCUUUGAGCAACAACCAUCAAUCAGCAUGUUAUAUAUUCUUGCAUUGGGUGAAACCCCUCUGUCUUCCAUAUCUCUCUUAACAAUCUCAGCUUCAAGAAGCUUAGAGCCUUUGCACAAACAAUUAAUCAGAUUCCCGUAGCUAACUACAUUCGGCAUCGUCCCGUUGUUUUCCAUUUCUUUGAGGACGUCGAAACACUUAUCAAACUCACUCUUCCUCCCAUAUCCCCCGAUCAAGAUGUUAUACGUCUCCACGCUAGGAGAAACUCCUUUUAGUUUCAUCUUGCUAACCUCUUGCUCAGCAUUCUCCAUUUCCCCCAACUCACAAAAUCUCUUAACCAAACAAUUGUACGCCAAAUGAUUCGGCUUCAUCCCUUGCGUCUCCAUCGCUUCGAUUUUCAUUCGAGCUCCAACCAAAUCACCUUUACGACAGUAUCCAUCAACCAUCGUGUUAUAAAUAACCUCGUUCAGGACAAGCCCCUUACCCAUUUCCGUCCCCAAAAUCUCCUCCGCCUUCUCUAUCUUCCCUUCUUUGCACAACGCAUUCAACAAAAUGCUACACGUAUAAGCAUUCAUCUUCACACCAGAAUCAACAGCUUCCUCAUAAACACCCAGAGCAGCCUCAGCUUUCUCGUUACUCGAGUAACCAUCAAACAGAAUACUUAAAGUGAACGCAUCAGGCACAAAGCCAUGAUCUUUCAUCUCAUUCAAAACAUUCUCAGCUUCUUCCACCAUCCUCGCGUUAAACAUCCCCUUAAGCAACGUAUUGAACGUAACAAGAUUCGGAUCAACACCAUCCGCUUUCAUGCGUUCUCUCACCUUAAAAGUCUUUUCAAGAUUCCCACUUUUGCAAUACCCAUCGAUCAAAGUGUUAUAAGUGAUCAAAGUGGGAACCAAUCUUCUCUGAAGCAUUUCGUCGAACAGCUUCUCUGCAUCAUUCACCCUCCCAUUUUUACACAACCCGUCAAUAAGAACGUUGUAGAUAAACACAGUGGGUGAGAUUCUAUCGUGCUUCAUGCGAUUAAACAGCUCUAAACCUUUCCCUAAAUCGCUCAAUUUCACGGCGGCGUAAACUGCUUUACCGUACAUGAACUUGCUCGGACGAUAAUUCGAUUCAAUAAGAUUCAAAAACACAUUGAUCAUUACUCUGAAUUGCUUUGCUUUCCCGAGAUGAUCGAACAACAGCGUUAACGAGUCUGAGCUGGGGGUGAUGCCUUCGUUCCUCAAGGCGAAGAACAAGUCCGUGGCUUCGGGGAUCAUGUUCGAUUGGAUCAGCACGGAGAAGAGCAGGUAGGAGAAGUCGUUCUUCAGCGAUGGAGAUGAUAGUGAGAAGGCAGAGAAGAGUUCUCUCGGCGAUGUGAAAGGAGAAGAACCUGAUCGUACGAGCGAGGUGAGAGCUCCACGCGCCGCUUCGAUUCUGUUCUGCUGGAGAAGUACUCGGAGAUUCCGUAGCUUAUCGUCUCCGGUAAUGGGAUUCGGAGGCGGGGCUGGUUCGGGUUCAGGGUGAGUCGCGUCGGAGGAGGUAGAGAAGAGACGACAUGAGCAUAACGAGGCCGACUCGGAUAACUUCACGGUGGCGUAACAAGAAGAUCUCGAAACGAGUCGAAAGCGAGUCACCAUCUUUGCCGGAGACGCUCUGAUAUUUUGGAGGUUUAAAUGUUUAAUAACCAUUUUACUCAGAGUUGGGCUUGAGAUGGGCCUUUCUUCCUUCCAUUCAAAUCGAACAUUCUGGUUAAGAUGGGCAUUUCUUCUUGCCCAUUCAAAUCGAACAUUUUGGUUGUUUGGUGUAGAACUGGUAUGAGCUUCUAACACUUGCUAAUGAAAACUGGUAUGAGCUUCUUUUAUCGAUCACCUUUUACACUAACGCCGCUUUCUUUCUGUGUAAUUAUUCGACAUUUAAUGCACGAAGAUGCAAUUUUCACAUGGUGCGUACUCCAUAGGAAAAUGAAAAGAUCUUAUAUAUUGGAACAUCAAAAUUCUGUACUAUAUGCUACAUUUAGGAAGUAUAUAAUUUGGACAAUCCAGUACAGAGGUAUAAUAUAAUAACUCGAGCAUGAUUUAGAUACCUAAAUUAAAAACCAAGUUUUUUUUUGUCUGGACAUAGAGUGAAAAGGUUAAAAGUAAUUAUGCAACGUUUCUACAACGAAGUUGGCAUUAUAUUGUCGGUUAACACGACUAUGUAAAUUCCGAUGGUCGAGUGAAUUACAAUUAGUCAAGUUAAUUAACUCUUAGCAGAGUGUUAUAUGAUAAGAGUGACAUGUUUGUUAAUCAAGAACAAUAUACAACCCCAUAAAGACAACAGACUAGUCACCAAUUACAGGAAUUAGUUAUAUUUUAGACAUGCCAUAAACACGUUAAUUACCGGAAUGAUUGAAAAACUGUUCUUUAGCAAAGACGUAAAGGAAUUGAUACUUGGUGGCGACAGAGAAAGUGAUAUGUAUAAUGGCCACUGUCCAACACUCUCACUUGUCUUUCUCAAAUAAAAAAAAGCACUCUCACUUGUCACAUCCAAAUGAAAAAUUAGUUUCAACGUGUUGCAGUGUUUCUCAUAAUAAUUUAAAAGUAACACGAUAAGAAGUUACAAAUUUUAGUUUACAUCAAUCCUGCUAGUGGUGAUAGGUUGCCGACGAUGUCGAGACUAGCAGGGUGGAAUAUUCCUGUCUGUACGAUUUACGUUUUCUGUUCUUCUUCUGUCAAAACGAGAGACCAUUUAUUUACAACUUGUCAGUACAGCUUAUGGGUGUGGAAAGAAGUACUUCUGCGAUGUCGUUCUCCUGCUCGCUUCUUCACAAAUUGGUCGGAGCUUCUGUCUUGGAUUCGAGUGUCGCCCUCAAAGAAAGUUACCCUACUGCGCAAGCUAGCAUGUCAAUCGGUGGUGUUUCACUCAUGGAAGCAGAGGAAUAACGUCGUCCACAACAAAGUCUGGUUACCGACUUCUCUUGUGUUCAAAGCAAUCGAUAGAGAGAUGAGAAACUAGAAGAUCUCGCAAAGGUUUCAGGGCAUUAAUGCAAUUGUGGUUGAGAUGAUGGUGAGAUUCUGUAUUUAAUAAUUGUUCCAGCUUGUUUUUAUUCUUUUUUGCUGGGUUGGAACAAAAUUUAGAUUAUUACCUUCUAAAAUUUUCGAUCAUUUAUGAUAUUUACAGUUUAGCAAAAAAAAUGAAAACCAACCCACUUACUACAGUAGACAUCGAAAGACAACACCUACCUUCUCCUAUACUCCAAAAAUGAGAGGCAACAUCAACAAAAAUCAAACUAGUUAGAGGGCGCUACUUUCAUGGACAAAGAGAUCAUGUAACCAUUUCGGGUGACCGGAGGAUACAUAUGAUCGAAUGAAACCACGGUUAAUAACAGUGUGUUUGUUUAUCACUAGUAUCUGAAUUUUUUUAUUAAAAUUCGUGCUCAAUUGGAAUUUGAAAUUUGAAUUUUUGUUGCCUGAAAAUUAAGCAAAGUUGAAAUUGUGGUGGACGUGCACAGAAUCCAUAUUAUAUUCUGACAUUUAUAGGACAGAGCAUUUGUCUUUUUUUGUGUGAGAUAUAAUACAUAGGAGUUAUUGAGAAAAAUAAUAGUUUUAUAAUAAAGAGGACUAUGAUGGUUAGAUUCUUUAACUAAAAACCAAGUCUCGUGGUGCGGAAACUUUCCCCUAUACAUUUUGAAUAGUAAUUAAAUCUAUAGAAUUGUGUAAUUUUAGUGUUGACGACAAAAGGUAGGAGUUUAUUAGCAUUAAUUGUAAAUAUUUUAGCACUAAAUGGUGGUUAACUACUACUCUGACCACCUUAGCAUCUUAAGGAAAAGCUUAUUUAUUAGGCUUAGAAAAAGUAUUGAGAUAUCUCACUCCUUUGGACCCGCCUGAGUGUUGUGUUCAUGUAAGAUCUUCUCAAAACCCUUUUUCUCUUUGGUCUUUUCAUGUUAUUUUAAAAUAAUUUGGCUGGCUUCAAGCCAUUUUCUCUCAGCCAAACUUUUUCCACCGCCUCUUCUUAUCAGCUGCUAUUAUUCGCUUCUUCUUUUUAGGUCAUUAUUAUCUGACUUUUCUUUACCAAAUGUUUGAAUUAUUCUCUUAAAACGUGGUCGUGGUGUGUACUAUCUAAGAUCUCCGUUUACCUUUUGCUAUUUUUCAGGGUUUUCUUCUCAAGAAUGAGCUGAUUGGUACUCACAGAAGAAGAAGAUUCAUUGUACCUCACUAGUGGUAGGUAACCUCGUUUCCCCCAUGUUUAGCUGUUGACUCUUAAAAAAAUUAUGUUGUUUUUCUAGGGAAAUACAUACUUUUAUUUGCUUCUUGGGAAAGUUUACUCAUCUCUGCCUAAAGGUUUAGAUUUAGAGUCCAUAAAUUUCCUAAAAAUCUAAGAACAAGAGCCAUAGUUUCUAUAACCAUUUGUCCAUAAGGUCACUUUGUGUUUUUUUUUUGUCAACAAUAGUACUCUUUUUCCUCAGGAAAUAUUCAGAACCAAAAUGGAUGGUAGUAGCAAUGGAAUGGCAGAAAGAAAGAGCACCAACGGAGGAAGAGAAGUUGUUAUCAAUGUCCCAGGUGAAGAAGCAUCAAGGGUUUCUGUUAAGAUGGAUUCACCAGAGACCAAGAGCUCCUCCCCUGAAAUCUCUAAGCUUAUUGGUGGUAGCCCAAACAAGCCUCCCAGACCUCCAAACCCAAGCAUUGAAGGCUUAACUCAAAGAAAAUCUUUUGCAAGGUCGGUUUACUCCAAACCAAAGUCCCGGUUUGUUGAACCAUCUCGCCCUGUAGACACAAGCACCCUAGAAGGGGACGUUAAGGAGCCACUUGGUGC
rnacentral:lncRNA from 1 species